GAUGAACGCUGGCGGCGUGCCUAAUACAUGCAAGUCGAGCGAAGCGGGGACGGGUGAGUAACACGUGGAUAACCUCCUAUAAGACUGGGAUAACUUCGGGAAACCGGAGCUAAACCGGUUACUUAUAGAUGGAGCCUCGCUGCAUUAGCUAGUUGUUAAGGUAACGGCUUACCAAGGCAACGAUGCAUAGCCGGCCUGAGAGGGUGAUCGGACACACUGGAACUGAGACACGGUCCAGACUCCUACGGGAGGCAGCAGUAGGGAAUCUUCCGCAAUGGGCGAAAGCCUGACGGAGCAACGCCGCGUGUGUGAUGAAGGUCUUCGGAUCGUAAAACUCUUUUAGUAGGGAAGCGGUACCUAAUCAAAAAGCCACGGCUAACUACGUGCCAGCAGCCGCGGUAAUUC
rnacentral:rRNA from 1 species